rnacentral:rRNA from 1 species
GACGAACGCUGGCGGCGUGCUUAACACAUGCAAGUCGAACGGAAAGGCCCUGCUUUUGUGGGGUGCUCGAGUGGCGAACGGGUGAGUAACACGUGAGUAACCUGCCCUUCACUUUGGGAUAACUUCUGGAAACUGGGGCUAAUACCGGAUAGGAGCUCCUGCUGCUUGGUGGGGGUUGGAAAGUUUCGGCGGUUUGGGAUGGACUCGCGGCUUAUCAGUUUGUUGGUGGGGUAAUGGCUUACCAAGGCUUUGACGGGUAGCCGGCCCGAGAGGGUGGCCGGACACAUUGGGACUGAGCUACGGCCCAGACUCCUACGGGAGGCAGCAGUGGGGAAUAUUGCACAAUGGGCGGAAGCCUGAUGCAGCAACGCCGCGUGCGGGAUGACGGCCUUCGGGUUGUAAACCGCUUUCGCCUGUGACGAAGCGUGAGUGACGGUAAUGGGUAAAGAAGCACCGGCUAACUACGUG